UUGUUUACCGUAAUGCCGUCGAA
rnacentral:snRNA from 1 species